GCCCAUACUAGCCAUGUUCAGGGCCCACUUGUCCUGCCAACCAGUUGAAAUUGUGGUAAAAACAAUGGUGUCCAAAAUGCUUCAGGGCUGCCCUCCUUGGAUACAGCUACUAGACAGCCCCUAAACAGGCCCACAUGGGACUGAAGCUUCAGCUGCAAAUGUCCUGUCCCCACCCACUGACAGGGCCAGGUCCUGUGCCCCCCAAGACUCCACCUUAGAGACUGUGGGAUACCUCUAGGAGGAAGCAGCAGGACAAAAGGAUCUCCUCAGGUUUCCUCCUUGAAGAAAGGCCUAGAGAUGAGGAGAUAUGGGCUGCUUUGAGGAAAAUGCUCAGUGUUCUGGGUUCUCACCUCUCCUCUGUCUACUAGACCAGAUAAUUUCCUGGUGCAGAGUUUGUGAAACCUAGGUGACCACAGGACUUUUCUUAACUGGAAACGGGGCCUUACGAAUCUCCAGCUCAGCUCCCAGGUUUAAAACGCUUCACGAAUUCCCCAGUGCCCAAGGGACAACACCCUUUGGCAGGGUGGCAGGCUCCUUCCGGAACCUUCCUGGCUUGUCCUCUCCAGCAAACAGGCUUGGCGCUUGCUCGCGCACUCUCCCUGACACACAUGGUGCUGGAAUGCUCUACCUCUCUUGAGUGCCUGCGAACUGCUCAUUUUUCAAGAUCCUGCCUGAGUCACCUCCCCUAGGAAAGCGUCCUUAGUCAGAGUUAAUCACGCCCUGCUCCAUUGCAGCACAGUGACACCAUGCUACCUUGUGCAGGCUUCUCCCUGGGCGCUCCUCCUGGCAGCACUAACUGCCUCUCCCCUGGACCGUAAUAAA